UGGAUCCAGACUUUGAUUCUGUUUCAGGAUGAACGCUAGCUACAGGCUUAACACAUGCAAGUCGAGGGGCAGCAUGAACUUAGCUUGCUAAGUUUGAUGGCGACCGGCGCACGGGUGAGUAACACGUAUCCAACCUUCCGUUUACUCAGGGAUAGCCUUUCAAAAGAAAGAUUAAUACCUGAUAGUAUGGUGAGAUUGCAUGAUAGCACCAUUAAAGAUUUAUUGGUAAACGAUGGGGAUGCGUUCCAUUAGGUAGUAGGCGGGGUAACGGCCCACCUAGCCGACGAUGGAUAGGGGUUCUGAGAGGAAGGUCCCCCACAUUGGAACUGAGACACGGUCCAAACUCCUACGGGAGGCAGCAGUGAGGAAUAUUGGUCAAUGGGCGAGAGCCUGAACCAGCCAAGUAGCGUGAAGGAUGAAGGUCCUACGGAUUGUAAACUUCUUUUAUACGGGAAUAAAGUAUCCUACGUGUAGGAUUUUGUAUGUACCGUAUGAAUAAGCAUCGGCUAACUCCGUGCCAGCAGCCGCGGUAAUACGGAGGAUGCGAGCGUUAUCCGGAUUUAUUGGGUUUAAAGGGAGCGCAGACGGGAGAUUAAGUCAGUUGUGAAAGUUUGCGGCUCAACCGUAAAAUUGCAGUUGAUAUUGGUUUCCUUGAGUGCAGUUGAGGCAGGCGGAAUUCGUGGUGUAGCGGUGAAAUGCUUAGAUAUCACGAAGAACCCCGAUUGCGAAGGCAGCUUGAUAAACUGUAACUGACGUUCAUGCUCGAAAGUGUGGGUAUCAAACAGGAUUAGAUACCCUGGUAGUCCACACGGUAAACGAUGGAUACUCGCUGUGGAAGAUAUACUGUCAGCGGCCAAGCGAAAACAUUAAGUAUCCCACCUGGGGAGUACGCCGGCAACG
rnacentral:rRNA from 1 species